rnacentral:rRNA from 1 species
GGCGUAGGCGGAGAUGUAAGCCAGACGUGAAAGCCCGGGGCUCAGCCCCGGAAUAGCAUUUGGAACUACAUUUCUUGAGGAUAGGCGGAGAAAACGGAAUUCUGCAUGUAGCGGUGAAAUGCGUAGAUAUGCAGAAGAACACCGGUGGCGAAGGCGGUUUUCUAGCUUAUUCCUGACGCUGAGGCCCGAAAGCUAGGGGAGCGAACA